GCCAUUAUCCUCUGUUUCUCUGCUGCAGCAACCUCGACGUCUUGCCUAUGUCCCUCUUUCUUGCGGCCUAUAGAUUGGUGUAUCCAUUUAAUACAAGAAAAUGGAAACUGAACAGCCAGAGGAAACCUUCCCCAACACCGAAACCAAUGGUGAAUUUGGUAAACGCCCUGCAGAAGAUAUGGAAGAGGAACAAGCUUUUAAAAGAUCUAGAAACACUGAUGAGAUGGUUGAAGUACGCAUUUUGCUUCAGAGCAAGAAUGCUGGGGCAGUGAUUGGAAAAGGAGGCAAGAAUAUUAAGGCUCUCUGUACAGACUACAAUGCCAGUGUUUCAGUCCCAGACAGCAGUGGCCCUGAGCGCAUAUUGAGUAUCAGUGCUGAUACUGAAACAAUUGGAGAAAUUCUGAAGAAAAUCAUCCCUACCUUGGAAGAGGGCCUGCAGUUGCCAUCACCCACUGCAACCAGCCAGCUCCCGCUCGAAUCUGAUGCUGUGGAAUGCUUAAAUUACCAACACUAUAAAGGAAGUGACUUUGACUGUGAGUUGAGACUGUUCAUUCAUCAGAGUCUGGCAGGAGGAAUUAUUGGGGUCAAAGGUGCUAAAAUCAAAGAACUUCGAGAGAACACACAGACAACAAUCAAGCUUUUCCAGGAAUGCUGUCCUCAUUCCACUGACAGAGUCGUUCUUAUUGGAGGAAAACCUGAUAGGGUUGUAGAGUGCAUCAAGAUCAUCCUUGAUCUUAUAUCAGAGUCUCCCAUCAAAGGACGUGCACAGCCUUAUGAUCCCAAUUUUUAUGAUGAAACCUACGAUUAUGGUGGUUUUACAAUGAUGUUUGAUGACUGCCAUGGACGUCCUGUGGGAUUUCCCAUGCGGGGAAGAGGUGGCUUUAACAGAAUGCCUCCUGGUCGGGGUGGGCGUCCUAUGCCUCCAUCUAGAAGAGAUUAUGAUGAUAUGAGCCCUCGUCGGGGACCUCCUCCACCUCCUCCUGGACGAGGUGGCCGGGGUGGUAGCAGAGCUUGGAAUCUUCCUCUUCCUCCACCACCACCACCUAGAGGAGGAGAUCUAAUGGCCUAUGACAGAAGAGGAAGACCUGGAGACCGCUAUGAUGGCAUGGUUGGUUUCAGUGCUGAUGAAACUUGGGACUCUGCAAUAGAUACAUGGAGCCCAUCAGAAUGGCAGAUGGCUUAUGAACCACAGGGUGGCUCCGGAUAUGAUUAUUCCUAUGCAGGGGGUCGUGGCUCAUAUGGUGAUCUUGGUGGACCUAUUAUUACUACACGAGUAACUAUUCCCAAAGAUUUGGCUGGAUCUAUUAUUGGCAAAGGUGGUCAGCGGAUUAAACAAAUCCGUCAUGAGUCAGGAGCUUCGAUCAAAAUUGACGAGCCUCUAGAAGGGUCUGAAGAUCGGAUCAUUACCAUUACAGGAACACAGGACCAGAUACAGAAUGCACAGUAUUUGCUGCAGAACAGUGUGAAGCAGUAUUCUGGAAAGUUUUUCUAAGACUAGUGAAGAACUGAAGGAGUCCUGCAUCUUUUUUUUUUUUUAAUCUGCUUCUGUUUAAAAAGCCAACAUUCCUCUGCUUCAUAGGUGUUCUGCAUUUGAGGUGUAGUGAAAUCUUUGCUGUUCACCAGAUGUAAUGUUUUAGUUCCUUACAAACAGGGUUGGGGGGGAAGGGAGUGCAAAAACUAACAUUGAAAUUUUGAAACAGCAGCAGAGUGAGUGAAUUUUAAUUUUUGUUCAUUGUUGGUGGUUUAAAAGAAAAAAUUCCCCCCAUGUAAUUAUUGUGAACACUUUGCUUUGUGGUCACUGUAACAUUUUGGGGGGUGGUGGGACAGGGAGGAAAAGUAACAAUAGUCCAUUUGUCCCUGGCAUCUAUUCAGAGCAGUGUGCAGAAUGUAAUGCUCUUUUGUAAGAAACGUUUCAUGAUUUUUAAAAUAAAUUUA